CAUUCACUACCCUCUGUCCCUUUCUCCUCAACCCUACAUAUGCUCCAGCUUGCCCUUUGGCUUCCUACAAUAUGGAGUCCAUUGCUUCAUAUCCUAGGUAUGCUCUUUCCAAGGAAGAGUAGAGUAGGAUUUGGUGAGUUUUUUGGACUGCUGUCUCAUGAUGCUGCUUGUGCUGAACUUGCAGCCCACUGAACCCUUUGGCAUUUUUCAUGGGAACUGUUACUAGCCACACUAAGCCUUUCACAGUUCCUACCCUGGCCGCUGCCUAGCUCCCAUCUCCCUCCUCGGCUUAGGCUGAAAAAUCAGUAGCUGCUGAUUGACUGUGUAGGGAGACAGGGACGCCUUGUGUUUGUUAGGUAUCGUCGUGCCCUGCCUGGGCGGGACAUAUUGAGGCUGGAAGACUGUCAAUCAAUCUAAGUGCCAACUGGCAGGGCCAGUUGAUGGAGAUGGCUUCUUGGCAUUUUUGGCACUGCCCCCGGGGCUGCAGAUGGCCUAUAAAGGAAGCACGGGACACACAGCCAGCAAUAAACCUCCAAGUGUGGCAGGACACAAGCAGCAACCAGACAAUCAGCAACUUCCAGCCCUGAGAAGCUCCUGUAUUCCUUAUUUCAGAGGACACCAGCCGUGACACUUACAUGGAGCUGCCAGGGGCCUUCCAAAUUUUGCAUCUAUGAAACAAAACCAAGGCAACCUCAAGCUGAUCCUGUGGCGGUUGAACAUGAUAUCGAGCUGAAGCCCAGCUCCCUAGCUGGGGGUAUCCAUCCAAGAAGUAUACCCAGUGAAGUCUGGCAUCCUGUACCCCUGCUCACAGG